GAUGAAGAACGUAGCGAAAUGCGAUAAGUAGUGUGAAUUGCAGAAUUCAGUGAAUCAUCGAAUCUUUGAACGCACAUUGCGCCUCCUGGCAUUCCGGGAGGCAUGCCUGUUCGAGCGUCAUCAAACCCCAUCGUGCAAAUGAAUUAUUUUUUUUGCGCGGAAGUGACGAUUGAGCGAGAAUAACAAAUCCUCUCGCACCUCGUCGAAAUGAUUGCGGGCAGAAUUUGGGAUCGGGUUCCUCGGCGUAGUGUAUCAAUGCAUAUUUAUGCAACUUGCCGCGGAGUUGAGCCUGACCCACGCGUUCUCGCCGUACAAACACCUCAUUACUUUACAAGUUUUUGACCUCGGAUCAGGUAGGGAUACCCGCUGAACUUAAGCAUAUCAAUAAGCGGAGGA
rnacentral:misc_RNA from 1 species